rnacentral:rRNA from 1 species
UAUGUGAUCGUCUCUCGCAUAUCAAUAAGCGGAGGAAAAGAAACUAACAAGGAUUCCCCUAGUAACGGCGAGUGAAGCGGGAAGAGCUCAAAUUUGAAAUCUUAAAGGGUUUCCCUUUACGAAUUGUAGUUUAAAGAAGUGUUUUCUGUUGAGGUUUUGGUAAAAGUUCUUUGGAAUAGGACAUCAUAGAGGGUGAGAAUCCCGUAUUUGACCUUUACUUUCAACUUUGUGAUACACUUUCAAAGAGUCGGAUUGUUUGGGAAUGCAGUCCAAAAUGGGUGGUAAAUUUCAUCUAAAGCUAAAUAUUGGCGAGAGACCGAUAGCGAACAAGUACCGUGAGGGAAAGAUGAAAAGAGCUUUGAAAAGAGAGUUAAACAGUACGUGAAAUUGUCAAAAGGGAAGCGUUUGACACCAGUGUUGUUUUUCUGAAAAUCAAUUAAAGAACUGUUUAUGCUAAGUUGUUUAGACUUUAUCAGCUAACUGUUUAGUUUUGAGCUUUUCUUUAAUGCACUUUUCAGUUAACAAGUCAACAUCAAUUUCUUUUGCUGUAAAAAAGCUUGAGGAAGGUGGCUUGAGAUUCGUCUUAAGUGUUUAUAGCCUCUUGCCUAUGCAGUCGGAGAGAUUGAGGUCUGCAGCGUAGAUCCUUCGGGGCUAAAUGCAUUUGUGCUAAGUUAUAGCAUUUUAUAGACAACUUGUUGACUAUGAUUUGUCUUGUAGCUUACUCGCUUAUGUUAUUUUACCUACGCUUAGGAUGUUGAUCUACAGAGCGAGAGU